CGUAUAAUGUAAUGGAAACAUGCCAGAUUAACACUCUAGAUUUGUAGGUUCGAGUCCUACUGCG
rnacentral:tRNA from 1 species